GGUGAAGUAGCGUGGAAACAACCACAGCGAGAGGGGGAGAGAGAGAGUAAUUUCGGGAGAUUAUUGCAAAAAGAAAAGGGGAGAGAGAGAGAGAGACGGAAUGGGAGAGUUCGGGAUGGAGCUCACCCGAAGAUGAGGAACAGGGGAAGAACCGAGAUGAGGAAGGGAAAAAGGAGUGUUCUGUGCAAAAGAGAGAGAAGUAUCGAGGGAAAGGAAAUUGAGCGUAGAGAGAGAGAGAGAGAGAGAGAGAGAGAGAGAGGGAGAGCUCUGCUCGAGAGGAAAUAGAGUAGAGAAGAAGAACGCGAGCUUGAUGGAUAGCUCAGGCUUGGGGUUUAGGGAAGAAUCGAGAGGAUAAUGGGUCCAUGGCAGCGGAGAGUGUAGCAAGAGAGGGAGAGAGUGAGCGAGCUGAAGGUGAGAGCGAAAGGAAGUGAUGAAAAGGGAACCCGGAAUAGAGCCCACUCAAGGAUGAAGAAGAAAUGGACAGGAAAGGAGUAUAAUUAAUGAUACGAUAGUGUGAUUAUGUGCUCAUGAAAUUGAUUUCUUGUUACAUUUAUAAUUGAUAGGGAUGGCGGAGGCCAAAACCAUGCAUUCCAAAGGUUAGAACCCAGUGAAAUAUUUUGGAAAAUUAUAUGAUUACUCUAUUUCCUUGCAAAAUGAUGUAUUAUAGUUAUAUACAUUAUUUAAGAAUAAUAUUGUAAUAGUUAGAGAUUAAAGCAUUGGUCUUGCGAUGUUGUAUGAAGGGAUUUGGGACAUAUAGCCCUCUUAUGUUUCAUUUUGACUUGAGACAUACGGUGUGAUUGUGUAUGAUGAUUAUGUAUGAGAUAUACGAUGUGAUUGUGUAUGUUGAUUUUGUAUACUGAUAUUGCAGCUUGAUUGUUAUAGCCAUGGGAUCGCUGGACCCGAUGGAAUUGGAUUUGGGGUGUGGUUGACCGCUAAACCGGCGGGAUAUAAAAUUGAGAUGCAUUUCACACUUUGCAUAUUAUCUUUCUAGAUGGAUUAGAGAUUAGCUUGGCUGAGUAGGAGAAUCAUUUUUGACAGCGGGGAUCAACUUGGAAGACUUCCUGGAUAGCCCUAUUUAUUUUAUAUCUUACAGAUAACUAAGCUAUUAUAAGAGAAGCUUAAAAGUAUGUUAUGGCCUGGAAUAUUUUUUUUUGUAUAAUUAUUCUUUUGGUAAUUAGAGAUCAGUAAUAAUCUAUUGGGAUGUUUAACAUGUGAUUUAUUUGAUGGAAUAAAUAAAUUGACAAUUGGAGGCCUAGCAUAUUGAAAUAUUAGCAAGUUUUGGAUUAUUGAAAUUUUAAAAGAAAUGUUGCUGAAAUUUUGGGUUGUGACACAAUUCCUGAAGGCAAACAGUUGAACACAUUUCAGAGCGAUGCCUUUGGGGGGAAUUUUGGGUUGUGUGGAUUUCCCUCUCAAAGACAAUGUGGAGGGGACGCAAAUGAACCACCACCAUCAAGUACUCUUACAGAUGAAGAAAACACGGAGAAUCGAAAUUGGAUGGAAUGGCGAGCGGUACCAAAUGGGUUACAGACGCUGAACUGUUCUUAGACUUUCUGUGGGAUAUAUAAUGCUUCAUUUCCAAAGACCUCUAUGGCUCAUGAGGAUGAUGAAGAGAAGUAUAUACAAGCUGCAAAGAAGAGCUCGAAGAACUCAUGGAAGAGACGGCGGGAGGAUGCGGCGGCGAUGAUUGAGGCAAACCAACAACAGUUGAUGGAUCACAAUAAAUGGCAGGAAUGUAGGAGCCUUCACACCCAUCCUCAGUUUGGGAGAUCUUAGAGAUCAUACUAACAGAGAAAUGGAGUGUCUCUGUCUCAGUAUGUGUGUGUAUGUGGUCUUAUAUAUUCAAAUCCUAGCAAUGUUGUGAUGUAAUAAACAAUACUGGGCAAAUAUGGAGCAUUACGAGUUCAAUAUCAACUAAUAUCAACGACGUCAAGUACGGCCUAAUGGUUCUGUUCUUGGUAGGACGGUGUUUGCUGAAUGAUAAGACUCCUGUGUAUGUUAAUGAGCAUUCGAGGAGUUCCUAUUUACCGGAA